rnacentral:rRNA from 1 species
UACGAAGGGGGCUAGCGUUGCUCGGAAUUACUGGGCGUAAAGCGUGCGCAGGCGGUUGUGUAAGACAGAUGUGAAAUCCCCGGGCUCAACCUGGGAACUGCAUUUGUGACUGCACAGCUGGAGUGCGGCAGAGGGGGAUGGAAUUCCGCGUGUAGCAGUGAAAUGCGUAGAUAUGCGGAGGAACACCGAUGGCGAAGGCAAUCCCCUGGCCUGCACUGACGCUCAGUGCACGAAAGCGUGGGGAGCAAACAGG